AAUCCGACAACCGAAGCAAACACUCGACUCCCUCGCUAUACACUACUCUCUCCCUCAUAGAACACUGAACACGACCGCCCCCUCUUCUACUUCAUCCCCACCGGCGGCGAGACGAACACCCACCCCUGCCUGGUCCAUGGCGGCCGCCCUUCCCCAGCCGCUGAUCUAUGCCCCCCCACCUCCUCCUGCCGCUGCGCCGGUCCAUGGCGGCCGCCCUUACUUUACCUCUCUUCACGCAGCCCGGAUCUGCCGCUUACGGCUUCCACCUCGCUUCCCUUUUCCCCAUUGCUCUCCAGCCCCGCACAAACCCCUUUGCCGCCAUCAGCCUAGUCCCCAGCCACGGCUCCGCUCCGGCUGCCAUGUAUGAGCUUUGCCUCCAACGGAUCGUCGGCACCGACCACCGGGCAGCCUUGGAGGGAUCCGGCAGAGGCUCCCCACCUCGGCUGCGGCUGGAGGAGGCCAUCGAUGCCUCAUACUUCGCGCCGUCCCAGCAACAAUGAGCGCCGCCACGUCCGUCCAUGGGUACCCCCUGCUCAGCGUAGUUCGUAGACGAUGUUCUACAAGCAGUCUUGCCCGGGAAGAAAAUGCACAUCAUGGGGAACUUGAGAGUGGAGAAGAAAAACUCAGUCCAG
rnacentral:rRNA from 1 species